AUUGAACGCUGGCGGCAGGCCUAACACAUGCAAGUCGAGCGAGCGGCGGACGGGUGAGUAAUGUAUGGGGAACUGCCCGAUGGAGGGGGAUAACUACUGGAAACGGUGGCUAAUACCGCAUACCAUCGGAUGAGCCCAGAUGGGAUUAGCUCGUAGGUGGGGUAAAGGCUCACCUAGGCGACGAUCUCUAGCUGGUCUGAGAGGAUGAUCAGCCACACUGGGACUGAGACACGGCCCAGACUCCUACGGGAGGCAGCAGUGGGGAAUAUUGCACAAUGGGCGCAAGCCUGAUACAGCCAUGCCGCGUGUAUGAAGAAGGCCUUAGGGUUGUAAAGUACUUUCAGCGGGUAGGCGUUACCCGCAGAAGAAGCACCGGCUAACUCCGUGCCAGCAGCCGCGGUAAUUC
rnacentral:rRNA from 1 species